AUUGAACGCUGGCGGCAGGCUUAACACAUGCAAGUCGAGCGAGCGGCGGACGGGUGAGUAAUGUCUGGGAAACUGCCUGAUGGAGGGGGAUAACUACUGGAAACGGUAGCUAAUCCCGCAUACCAUCAGAUGUGCCCAGAUGGGAUUAGCUAGUAGGUGGGGUAAUGGCGCACCUAGGCGACGAUACCUAGCUGGUCUGAGAGGAUGACAAGCCACACUGGAACUGGGACACGGUCAAGACUCCUACGGGAGCAAGCGGAGGGGAAUAUUGCACAAUGGGCGAAAGCCUGAUGCAGCCAUGCCGGGUGGGUAAAGAGGGCCUUGGGGUUGUAAAGCACUUUCAGCGAGGAGGCGGUACUCGCAGAAGAAGCACCGGCUAACUACGUGCCAGCAGCCGCGGUAAUAC
rnacentral:rRNA from 1 species